GGGCUGCGGUAAUUUAACCGUGCGAAGGUAGCAUAAUAAUUAGUCUAUUCAUUGUAGACUUGAAUGAACGGCGUGACGAAGAAUAAGCUUUUUUAAAAAUAAAAAUCGAAUUUUAUGUUUAAGUGAAAAAGCUUAAAUGUUAUUAAGGGACGAUAAGACCCUAUAAAACUUAAUAUUGUUCAUUAGUUCUUUUUGUAAGGUGUAUAGAUUAAUUAGCUGGGCUGUAUUUGGUUGGGGCGACUAAGAUAUAAAAAGUAGCUGUCUGAUUUAGAUUAAUAAAAUAAUUUGUUAUUAAAAGCCCCAUUGGGGAUUAGAAUAAAGUUACUUUAGGGAUAACAGCGUAAUUUUUUCUGAGAGUUCUUAUCGAAGAAAGUAGUUGCGACCUCGAUGUUGAAUUAGAAUUUUUAGCAAGCGCAGCAGCUUGAAUAAUAGGUCUGUUCGACCUUUGAAAAUU
rnacentral:rRNA from 1 species